GAUGAACGCUAGCUACAGGCUUAACACAUGCAAGUCGAGGGGAAACGAUAUUGGAAGCUUGCUUCCGAUAGGCGUCGACCGGCGCACGGGUGAGUAACGCGUAUCCAACCUGCCCAUCACUUGGGGAUAACCUUGCGAAAGUAAGACUAAUACCCAAUGACGUCUCUAGAAGACAUCUGAAAGAGAUUAAAGAUUUAUCGGUGAUGGAUGGGGAUGCGUCUGAUUAGCUUGUUGGCGGGGUAACGGCCCACCAAGGCGACGAUCAGUAGGGGGUCGGAGAGGAAGGUCCCCCACAUUGGAAGUGAGACACGGUCCAAACGCCUACGGGAGGCAGCAGUGAGGAAUAUUGGUCAAUGGGCGAGAGCCUGAACCAGCCAAGUAGCGUGCAGGAUGACGGCCCUAUGGGUUGUAAACUGCUUUUAUAAGGGAAUAAAGUGAGCCACGUGUGGCUUUUUGCAUGUACCUUAUGAAUAAGGACCGGCUAAUUCCGUGCCAGCAGCCGCAGUAA
rnacentral:rRNA from 1 species